UACGUAGGGCGCAAGCGUUGUUCGGAAUUAUUGGGCGUAAAGAGCUCGUAGGCGGCCUGUUGCGUCUGCUGUGAAAACUCGGGGCUUAACCCCGAGCCUGCAGUGGAUACGGGCAGGCUAGAGGUAGGUAGGGGAGAAUGGAAUUCCCGGUGUAGCGGUGAAAUGCGCAGAUAUCGGGAGGAACACCGGUGGCGAAGGCGGUUCGCUGGGCCUUGCCUGACGCUGAGGAGCGAAAGCGUGGGGAGCGAACAGG
rnacentral:rRNA from 1 species